GGGAGGCUUUGGACCAAGUCGGUACAUGCAUGCGGGGUGGGGCUGGAAAGAUAGAUUGGCCUAUGGGAACUUAGAAGAAGAAAGCGGGGGAGAAAGAUGUUAGUGGAGGGAAGGUGGGGAAACACAUUGGAGAAACAGUACCGAAAGUGGGUUUCUUGAGGCAGGAAGAGCUGUUGAAAUAGAAGAACUCCUCUGUUGCAUUUAGAGCAAAGGGACAUUUGUGAGCUGUGUGGGAAGCCCAUGUGUGUUCAUCCCCUAUUGUCAUGCUUCCAACUUUCAUUUCUUUUUUUUUUCCUCUCCAAUACAUGUGAAAUGAUUGUGGCUUAGAAUGAUACUGUUUUGGUAACCUUAGGGCUAUACUUAAUGUCUGAGUUUAGGGCUUAACCAAACAUAGCUUACCUGGAAACUGUUCUUUAUUUAUCAGCAUUCAGAAUAGAAGCUGAGUCACAGCAGUGACACUGACACAUCUGGUUUCUGUCUCAUACUUCCUUAUUUCCUGGCUGUUGGUGAUCUUCACUUUUGCUUGUUGGGAACUUGAAAUACACCGUCUCAAUAACCAUUCACCCUGCUUACGAAUGAUGCCCUCAGACAGGGCCUUCACUGCUUCUCCUCCCAGACAGCAAUGGCUUUGUUUUAAUGACUGUUUUUCAACAUUGAACUAUAUAGCAUUUACUCAAUUAACUGUCAGCAAAAUAAUGUCACCUGCUUAAUUUCAAACACUGGCAAGUAACUUGGAUUUUCAUCUGUCUGUAAACUGGAUUUCAUUUGUGUUUAAAAGGAAGCCAGGGAAAGAACCCAUAUGUUUUUUGGGAAAGGCCUUUAUUCCUUAUUUUUCUAGCUUAGUAAUCAAUUAUAAUCUAUUCACUCCAUCUCCAUGUCCCAUACCCUGUUCACAGGUGAGGGUGGGGAGUACCACCAUCUUAGAGGUGAAGCUGGAAAAACGUGGUGAGAUGGAUUCAUACUGUACAAGAUGUGAGGAAUAUCCUUUUUAUCACAAGAAAGACUAUGAGAAUCCACCAAUGGAGGAGUGGCUAUUCACAAAGGGUCAGGAAAGAUUGGUGACUGAGUGAAUCUGAUAUAUUGAGUGUAAAGCUGUGUGAGUUGGAAUGUCUCAUUACCUCAGGGCACGGCAAAUGAGGAGGGGAGCCAAGAGCAAAGCCCCAAAGGUUGGAUCCCCUCUGUGAGCUUGCCUACCUUUGUGGAACAAAGCACAACACACAGAGCAUGCAUAAUGGUAAGUUAAUAAUACUGACCGCUCUUCCAGAGGACCAGGGUUCAAUUCCCAGCAUUCACAUGGCAGCUCACAACUGUCUGUGACUCCAGUUCCAGGGGAUCCAAUACCCUCACACAGACAUAUAUGAAAGCAAAAACACCAAUGCACAUAAAAAUAUUUUAAAAAAAGAAGCCAUGGAGCCUUCUAACUGCCUACUCCAAAAUCAACCACUGCUUUCCACAAGUAAGUGUCCAGAUAAGACCACAGUCUGACAAACAUUUGAGAGUAUUGAGUAAUUACUCAAUAUUCCUGUCCUUUCAUCUUUACCCAGCCUGUCAAAUCCCACCCCAUUCUCCUCCCCACACAUGUGCCUCUUGUAUGCCCAGACCCCCAUAUAAAGAAGGCUUGCUUUCC
rnacentral:lncRNA from 1 species